UCAUUGUGUAACCAUAUUAUCAGACCGAGGGGCAACAAAGUCUCGUAUAAAACGCACCUCGGACACGCGCGAGGUCGCGUUUCAAAGCGAUUUCUCCUCAGUAUUUCUUUAACUUCUAAAACUAUCUUGACUAAUGAUAACGAGGCAAAUAUCAACGAAACCUCUGCCAUACAGUAUACAUGGUCAAAUGCACGCAUAUCGCAUGAAAAAAAUCACAAACCUUGCAAAUGUAGCUUCUGGAUCUUCCUUUGAAGCGCGUGCCCACAGUGAUUGUGUUGAAGGUGGCGUUAUCCAGCAUCCCAACUGUGAUCCAGCAUUUUGGUCUCUAAUUAAACUCUAUAUGAGCAUCUUUACAUGUGGUUUUCUACAUCUUCGGUUUGUCAGGAAACAAUUCAUCACCUGCUAGCUGUUGUCUCAUGGCUGUGAAAAGUAGAGACCAAAUGGAGAUGUUAACUUAUUCCCGCUUUACUCAGAUUUUUCUCCUAAGACCUCAACAGAUCUCAACAAAGUCUCAAUCUGUGCCAAGAUUUGCCAGCAUACCAAAGAAAAACAUCUGAGAUCAAGUUGACAUUCAAAUGAAGCAUAUCUGAAAACUCCCAUAAGCAUUCUGAGCUAUGAAAGAGCAACAUCUGAGCAAUAAAAUCUUUCCUCUGGGCUUUCAUGAGAGUCUCUCAAAUACACAUCUGGGCAAGCCGAGACUUUGCCUUUUUUAUUCUAUGAAGCAGUUCCAAUCUUUUAUGUCUGAGUAUGUGUUUAUGCUGUGGCAAAUUAGUCUGUCAAAUUAGCCCAUGGGCUUUGUUAACAUUCCUGUCGUCUGACUCGUCAGAACAUCACAGCAUCACCUGAUAUUAAGUUUUGUUUUAAAUGACAAGAUGAAAGAUGCCAAAUGGGGUUA